ACCGGGGCGGGCGCCUGAGGCCUUUCCUGCCCCGACUGGAACGGCGGCGUGGUGGGUUUCUUGCCCCACGGCCUCGCGAAGGCGUGUGUGAGGCGGGCAGUUGCCGUGGUUUUGAGUUAGGUCCGUAUGAUGGGCUGUAGUAAAUGGCAGUGUCGGGUGAGCCCUGAGAAGGCUGUGGUGCGAUAGGACGUGAGGCCUGCUUCUCGUGUGUGGCGCUGGGUUCGGAAGGCUUUACAGGGAGUUAGCAGACUUAAGAGGCAAAAAUAAAUAAUAAUGAAAUUAUGAUAGUACUUCAUUUCAGUUCGAGAACACUGCUCGAGGCACUAGGACACCUUCACUGCCUUAUAGCUGUGAUCCAGUUUUCAAAUUGUACAUUAAGUGAUUAAGGAAGAGAGUCAAAUGUAAAGUGUCCUGACAUGAGAUAUAUUCAAACUCUCUCGAUGCAAGUCCGCUUCGGGCCUUUUCUAGAACAUUUUUUACAUCUGCACCUUUAACAGGAGAUUAGUUUUACCAUUUUCAAAAGGGCUUUUGAUCUCACCGCUUCCACAUUUGGUCAUGGCAAUAAGGAGUCAAAUUCUGUCCCCUUGAUGAGCAGGAUUUGUUCAGGGGUGUUCAAAUACUUAACAGAAUUACAAAGAAACCAUUACCUGCUUGUGGAAUAAACCUGGCAGUUCGGGUUUGAUAUUUAAUGCGUUUAUUUUUACAAACCGUAAACUACGUUCCACAGCAACUGACGGAGCUGCUGCUAUCACGUGCCAUAGAGAUCACCUUGCUGUUUUCUGCAUAACCUGCAAGCAUCCUUAACAUGCAAGCAUUUAACAUGCUAAUGCAUGUGUUUCAUUAGUGGACCUCAUAUUAAGACUAGAUAUGCCGGUACCCAAAUGUGAUAAGGAAUGAUAAUAGAUUAAUGAUAAUAGACUGAGAUAAAUGACAACAAACUUGGACUUGAAGGGACACUAGGACUUUUAAGAUGCUAGGAUUUAAUUACUUUAAUGAUACUAGGUAAGGAAAAGUUAACAUGGUGAAAAAUAUUUUGUUGCCCAAGUACAGGGAGUAUGAUAAAAAUGUUUUCAGUUAGAGAGAAUGGAAAAUGCAGAAGGAUUUAGAAGAAAAAAUCACUAGCUGGUUUUACAUUCUUAUCUAAGUUGGCCAAUGAUAGUUUAAAAAUGCUAUUUUUUUAAACACUAGAGCUAAAUGUUAAUGGAGAACACAAGAUGGAGCUGAAGAGAGGAAUUUGCAAGCUGUUGUCAGGAAAAUUAAGACAUCUAAGUUUUACCUAUUUAUAUUAGUGGAGAAUUUCGUUUGGAGUUUGCAAAUAACAGAGAAUUUGUAAAGCAUUUUUAAAAAUGAGGAGCUAAUGAAGGGGGUAAUGUUUUCUUGUUUCUGAAGAACAGCUGGUAUUGCACAAUUCAUCUCCUAGAGGGAACCUCACUGUCAACUGUACGGCCAUGGUCAACAUACUCUUUUUUUUUUCCCCCCGCAAUCACAUGCAGCCACUUUGGAGGUUGAAAUUUCAGCAUUUUCCAAAUAACAGAUGAAACUAAGAAUGAAUUCAAGAUUACUGCCUAGCAAGACACUCCCUUUUGAAUGGGGUAACGAAUCUAGAAAGCAAGGCACUGAGCACUGAAAAGUGCUGCAGCUCCCUGCUGCAUUUCUAGAGUAUCCAGAGGGUAGCAGAGUUGGUGCACCAUAGGAUGAUCCAAGCUGCACAGCGGUGGUGGGCAGCCACCACGGCCACGGUCAGAACUGCACAAGCAUCCUUCAUGACUGAUGGUAACCAGAACACCACGUGCCACAUAGCAAGAUAACGGGAAGCACGCUUGAACUCAUGGAAACUCCAGGAAAUUUGCAGCUUCCAGUUAUUGAGCCAUGAAUUGGGAUUCAGCUAUUAGCUAACCUCAGUGACUUCCUCUUAAGCUGGAGCUGAACAGUAAAGAAAAACAUUCCAUUCACGCUGGUGGUGUGCAUGAGGUGGAAAAGACAAUUGUGUUUUAACCUUACUAUUUGCUUGAUCUCGUGCAGAAGAAGCCCAUACUGAAUUACAACAAUCUUGAUACAUAUUUUUUAACAUUUGGGUUCAGUAUUAUCUCUAGAUGAAAUUAAAUUGAACCACAGCAUAGGAGAAGAAAGGAAAGUGUCUAUAAUUAGGUUGGUUUUUCACUUUUGACACAGUAGGCCAAUUUUGUUCUCAAAUUGACUGUAUAAACCUGCAUAACUUAAUUUACUUCUGCUGGAAGUUCAGUGUAACUGUAUUAGCAUUGUUAGAGAUGAUACUCUCAUUCAAAUUGACUGUAUCUGAUGCUGCCUUGGAUUUAAAAAAAAUACAGUUAGUACUUUCCUUUUUUCCCUUUUGACUACCUUCUUCAAGUAAAAGAUGCUCUUGCCUGUAGAGGGAGAUUUUAAAACACACAAAGACCUGCCCGAAAGAAAGUAAAUCAUGAACUGCAUGCAUUAAGGAUGUUUAUAUUGGCAUAGGGUAGAGGGUGAGGAAGCCUGUCUUACAUGGCUACCUCUGUCAUAUGCUUCGGUCCUAUCUGCACUAGAAGCUGAUCUAUUAUGGACAAUCAGGGAUUAACAUGCAAACAGCUUACAGCAUAGUUAAAGGUUCCAUUCCUGAUAACCAUUUUAAAAUAUUAUUGUUGACAGGGAAGACCCGUGUGGCCCUGUGAAAUUCAUACACUUUUCUGUACCAUGUUUUCCUUAACUUAAAAACUGGAUUCCCAACAAUUCAUAAUAUUCCAUAGGGAGUAAAAUAAUAUCUGUUAUUCUGAGAUUCCUGGAUUAAGGCACUGUAGAAAUACAAAGUGUUAUUAUCAAGCAAUUAGGUUCAGGGAAAAAAUCUAGUAAACCCAGUCACUAAGUAGGUUGCUUAGCUUUGCGAAUCUGAAGCUUAACGAUUAGAAAGAGUUCGAAAAUGUUAGGUAUGCUGCCAGUAAGUGGUAUUGUCUGUGUAACAUACCGUGUCAUACAAACCAGAAGUCUAAAGGUGGAUGUUUCAGAGGAAAGCACCCAUAAUCACAGCAGUGUGUGAAAGGUAGGGGAUGAAUUCCUGUUAGGGAAAAAGAAUACCAGCAAUUACUGCUGUGAAGGGUAAGUCAAAUUAAGAGGAUCAUUUACCAGGCAUGACUGGCAGAUCAUGGAAAGAAAUUAGUAGCAAAAUUAGACUUCAUGGGCACAAAUGAGGUUAAAUAAAGUCCCCAAGUCUUUAUGUGAGUAAACUGAGAGUAAAACUCCUACAGGCAUUUAAAGAAAGCAGAAGAGUGAACCUUUCUUUAUGUGUCACCCUGCUUUGCUGCUGCUGUGAUCAGAGUUCCACUUGCAACCUGUUAUUGUUUGUUUUACUAGGAAAUCACUAGAGUAUCCCAAACUGAAAUUAAAACUUACUGUUUACCUAAAAAAGGACUAUUACAAAGAUGCAAGAAAAAGAUAAGCUCCAAAUCUUUCAAAUUGCAUUUUACCAUAUAAUGUAAAAAAGAGUACUGGAAGACAAACUAAGCAAAAUAAUAAUGGAUUAGCCCAAGAAAUGCCAUUUGAGCAGAACAGUUACCCAGUCAUGAUCAAGUAUAGCUUUGUCAGCAGAUAAAAGAUGAGUUAAGGGGAAACAGAAGUGGUGUUGUAUAGGCAGGUGGCUUACAGAUGGAAAACUAUUCUCAGUCAUGUGAAUGUGCAAAGAAAUGUAAGGGAAAAAUGGAAUGACAGACUGACAAGCAACAUAACUGACAGCUAGGAAGGGAAUACUAGUGGCUUCAUAACAGAUGAAUAUGAAGGUUGAUCUCAGAUCGUAUAACUACAUCAGAGCUAUCUUUAAACUAGUGAUCUCGGAUGUGGAAACAGAGCUUGUAGGAGUAAAAAAGGAAAAUAGCUGGCCCUGAGAGUUUUCACAGUAAGAACAGACAGAAAAGUCUAAACUCAGUGGCAGCAGUGGCUUUCCUCUAUCUGUUUUGGUCUGUAUGGAAAGAAACAGUGUAAGUAGAAGAUGAUGUAUAAAUUGCUAACAAAGUUGACAGUUAAACCAUUUUUGCAGGCUAGAAUUGUGAUGGAAUAUCAAAUGCAAUAUUAAAGCCAUUGCUUACAGAA